CUUUUCUUACAGUAUAACCCUGGGAUGCAGGGGGCUGACCUCCCGGCAGGAAAAAACGAGUGGUCCUGGGCAGGAUGACCAGCGAGGGGGCCUGCCAUCGGGGCUGAAGCUCCUCGGAGACACACUGCCCAGGGUCAAGGGGUCCCACGGUUAGUCAGAAGG
rnacentral:lncRNA from 1 species